UGCUCAUAUUUUCUCUUUUCCUUUGAAUGAAAAACCUUUUACUUAAAAGCAAUCUCUCAGUUUGAGAGCUUUUUUUUUUUUUUGAGAGCUCCAGCUUUUUUGGUCCAUUUUCAUGAAGAAUCCUGAUUUUCUAGUUGACAUCAUAAUGGUAGGAUGAAGGUUGUUUUGAUGUCACAGUCUGUUGCUAUUGAAACAAGUCCUAAUGCACAUGGAAUAUGUUCUCCUAGCCCUGGCACUGUAGAUGAAAGUGUCCAGACUUACAGCAGGAUUACUUUAAAUCUUCCCUUGCUGGAAUCUCGUGAGGACACCAUGGAGUCUGAGAUCCUUAAAAUUUCCCCACAUUCUCUGGGGAAUGGCACCUUGAGACUCAAAGAUCAGAAGGAAUGGAAUUGAAAUUCUCCUUUGCUUAACCACUAGUACUUUUAAAGUCCAUCAACAUUUUUAGUUGUUUAGGAUUAGCAGUAACCCAUGUUCUCUAGAUGUUAUUACUGAGGGGAGGAUCAAAGACUAAUUGAUUCAUAUUUCCUGGUCUGCUGAUUUAUUUUUUUUUCCCCUUUUGUGUUAUUUUUUGUUUUAGAAAUAGUUAAUGGUUAACUGCUUCUUGACAUGUUAGGCAAAGAAGUCUCCCAGGUUUGUAGAUGAAAAGAUUUUCAUCUUUGAAAAUAUAACCCAAAUGUACCCUAGAGGGCAGAGUCAUUUAGAGAGAGCUGCUGCACACCUGCCGGGUUACUGGUGCGUGCCCACUGCCUGUUCCUUGGAGAGAGGGACCAAACCCUGGGAAAAAGGUGUUGGGAGCAUGGGUGGAGCCUUCUGGUUUUUGUGAGCAGCAAAAGGUGGAGAAAACGUCCUGUGACUCUCCUGUGUGAAGGUUCUGAGAAAAAGAAACCCAACCAACAAAAAUAUAUUUAAAAAAAGAAUCAGUAUUUUGCGAAGAGCUCCUUAUAACCCAGCAGGCCACGCUGCUGGCAGGUGGCUGUUGCAGCUCAGGCCUGCUGCAGGGUCUGAGCCUUUUUUUGAGGGAUGCAGUUAAUUUUCAAAUAGAAGCAGCUUAGUUUUUCUUAGCAAAGAAAACAAUCACGGCUCUUUUCAAGAGCUUUCUCUUCUUGAGACCUGAGCCACUCAGGGGGUUACUGCCUGCUUUUCCAUCCAAGUGCUGAGCAGAGU
rnacentral:lncRNA from 1 species